CUGGUUCACUUCAGUAGGGAUGGCACUGGGUCCAAGAGGUCAAAGAAAAGACCCAAAGACAGCAAAUGAGGCAUAGGGCUUGUUGGGGGACUUAUAUACAGGGAUGGCCCCAUGGCAGUGGACUGGACAGGAGAACCACUACUGUUUGUAAAAAAGCAUGCAGUUUGUAUAGCAUUUUUAUUUAGCCACCUCCAUCUAGCAAGCCCCACCUAGCACCCUCUAUCUAAUCCAAAACAAAGGGCCUUAAUUCCCUAUAUAACCUGCAUUCCAAGGGAUGGGUCAGAGGGUCAGAUGUCCUUCAUAGAUAAGGAAUGAAUCUCAGGGUUGGCCACUCCAGGAUUCCUUGGCUUGGGACUCCAAACACAUAUUCUUCUUAGACCAUAGGGUCAUUUUCAGGGUAUGCUUAAGCUAUGUUACUGCUGUCAAGGGCUGUCAUAAACUUCCAAUUGUUCAAAUAAUUAAUUGGGAGACUAUUCAUGAUCAGUUGAAGUAUCUCCAGAGCCCUGUGUUCUUAUGUAAGCAAACAGAAACCCAACUCAGUAUAAAUAGUAAAACAAAACUUAAGCUUAACCCGUCAGAAAUCACCAACUAACCUCUAACUAGGGACUUUCCACUGGAACAACCCAAAAAAGGCUACUGCUUCACUUUAACCAAUCAAAUAUUUUCCUUGCCUUAUCUCCGUGUUCACCUUAUUUAAAAAGUCUUCCCCUAAUGCCCUUUGGUGAAGCCCUGAGCAACAUGUGGUCUGGUACUGCUAGAUUCAUGAGUCCCCAUCUGCUCAGGGAUAGUCUCUUUAAAAUCUGGUCAGUGAUGCUGCUGAUGAGAGAAUCAUAUGACAUUUGGUACUCCUCAAUCUGGUCUGGUGUCUUGAGUCCCACCUCUGGAGUCAAGUCCUGCCUCCUACCUCAGUUUCAGUGACUUUGGAAUUCAAGAUGGGAUCUCUGCUCUUAGCAUCAAGACCCUUUUUGAUGAAUGCAAAUGGUGGCUGACAGAAUGUGACUCAGAGGAAAGACUGACAGUCUACAUCAGUCUCCUGAUUUACAGCACAUUUAACUCUCCUGAGUCAACACAAAGAAAAAGAAACAGGAUAUUAGUAACGAGAAGAAAAGCCAUGUGAAUCCAUAGGGAGAAGGCAGCUGUCUGCAUACCAGGAGGAGAGCUCCCACCCGAACCCAACCAUAGUGCCACCCUGAUCUUGUACUUCCAGCCUCUCAGCUGUGAGAAAAUAAAUGUCUGUUGUUUAAGA
rnacentral:lncRNA from 10 species